rnacentral:rRNA from 1 species
AUUGAACGCUGGCGGAAUGCUUUUCACAUGCAAGUCGAGCGGCAGCGCGGCCUUCGGGCUGGCGGCGAGCGGCGAACGGGUGAGUAAUGCAUCGGAACAUGCCCAGUCGUGGGGGAUAACACUUCGAAAGAAGUGCUAAUACCGCAUACGUCCUGAGGGGGAAAGCGGGGGAUCGCAAGACCUCGCGCGAUUGGAGUGGCCGAUGUCAGAUUAGCUAGUUGGUGGGGUAAAGGCCUACCAAGGCGACGAUCUGUAGCUGGUCUGAGAGGAUGAUCAGCCACACUGGGACUGAGACACGGCCCAGACUCCUACGGGAGGCAGCAGUGGGGAAUUUUGGACAAUGGGGGCAACCCUGAUCCAGCCAUUCCGCGUGAGUGAAGAAGGCCUUCGGGUUGUAAAGCUCUUUCGGCAGGAACGAAACGGUGGGCUCUAACAUAGUCCGCUAAUGACGGUACCUGAAGAAGAAGCACCGGCUAACUACGUG